CCUACGGGUGGCAGCAGUGAGGAAUAUUGGCCAAUGGACGAGAGUCUGAACCAGCCAAGUAGCGUGAAGGAUGACUGCCCUAUGGGUUGUAAACUUCUUUUAUAUGGGAAUAAAACGUUCCACGUGUGGGAUUUUGUAUGUACCAUAUGAAUAAGGAUCGGCUAACUCCGUGCCAGCAGCCGCGGUAAUACGGAGGAUCCGAGCGUUAUCCGGAUUUAUUGGGUUUAAAGGGAGCGUAGGUGGAUUGUUAAGUCAGUUGUGAAAGUUUGCGGCUCAACCGUAAAAUUGCAGUUGAAACUGGCAGUCUUGAGUACAGUAGAGGUGGGCGGAAUUCGUGGUGUAGCGGUGAAAUGCUUAGAUAUCACGAAGAACUCCGAUUGCGAAGGCAGUUCACUGGACUGCAACUGACACUGAGGCUCGAAAGUGUGGGUAUCAAACAGGAUUAGAUACCCUAGUAGUC
rnacentral:rRNA from 1 species